rnacentral:rRNA from 1 species
AUUGAACGCUGGCGGCAGGCCUAACACAUGCAAGUCGAGCGGAGCGGCGGACGGGUGAGUAAUGCCUAGGAAUCUGCCUGGUAGUGGGGGAUAACGUCCGGAAACGGGCGCUAAUACCGCAUACUAUCAGAUGAGCCUAGGUCGGAUUAGCUAGUUGGUGGGGUAAAGGCCUACCAAGGCGACGCUCCGUAACUGGUCUGAGAGGAUGAUCAGUCACACUGGAACUGAGACACGGUCCCGAAUCCUACGGGAGGCCGCAGUGGGGAAUAUUGGGCAAUGGGCCGAAGCCUGGUCCCGCCAUGGCGCGGGUGUUAAAAAGGUCUUCGGAUUGUAAAGCACUUUAAGUUGGGAAGCGUUACCCACAGAAUAAGCACCGGCUAACUUCGUGCCAGCAGCCGCGGUAAUUC